rnacentral:rRNA from 1 species
AACGUAGGAGACAAACGUUAUCCGGAGUUACUGGGCGUAAAGGGCGUGCAGGUGGUCUGUUAAGUCUGGCGUGAAAGCUCCUGGCUAAACCGGGAGAGGUCGUUGGAUACUGGCGGACUAGAGGACGGUAGAGGCGUGUGGAAUUCCGGGUGUAGUGGUGAAAUGCGUAGAGAUCCGGAGGAACACCAGUGGCGAAGGCGACACGCUGGGCCGUACCUGACACUGAUACGCGACAGCAUGGGGAGCGAACGGGG